AUUAUGAACAGUAGAACAAGUACAAACGAUGAAUCUCCAACAUCUUCUCUAUGCCAAAGUGAAGUUGUGUAUAUAUUAGGAAAUAUGAUCGACAUAGUUCAACCUAUUCUUCAAUAUUUAGGAGACGACGACUUAAAAAGGUGCCAAUGAGUGUGUAAUUUGUGGAAGGAUGUUGUCAGACAGAUCAUGGCAAAAAGAGUGAGACUCGUUAAUAAGAUAUUUUCCUGGAAUGUGACGACAGACUCCAUUCUUCAUCAGUCCGUUUUGUAUUCUCGAAUUAAAAGAAACAACGACAAAUAUCUCGUAGCAGAAAUUAACAGAAAAGAUAUGCUAAUAUGAAUCGUGUAAAUCAAUGCGCGAGGCCGAGAGUAUAUAGAACAGAAAUUUAAGUAUUUGUAUACAUUCACAAACGUAGCAAUAAUUCCACCAUAUUCAGGCUUUCGAUUGCAUUGUUUUCAAUUCAGUUCUAAAGAACUUGAAAAGUACAGAGCAAAUGGAAUGAAGAAUUGGACAGACCUCAUACAUAUAACUACAGACCAAUUAAAGUCCGUUUCGUGGUAUGUGGAUGGAAGUGUGGACAAAUUCUUCCAGAAAAUUACGACGUCAUACGCUACAGCUGGAAUAUCCUGCUUUGAUACAAGCCCAGCGAAUUACAAAGGCAAUUCUUUGUAAUUGUCCUUUAGAAAGUAUUUUUCUUAGUUUCUUCUAUUAUUUAAUUAAUUUAAUGCCGAUUUUUAUUCUUUCGAUAUAAAGUACGUCCCUAAAGUACACGAGGAAUCACGCUACAUUUUAUUAUGCCUUCUGGUUAUCCGUGGCUUAUAAGGAUACUGAGAU